AUUGAACGCUGGCGGCAGGCCUAACACAUGCAAGUCGAACGGUAACAGGAAACAGCUUGCUGUUUCGCUGACGAGUGGCGGACGGGUGAGUAAUGUCUGGGAAACUGCCUGAUGGAGGGGGAUAACUACUGGAAACGGUAGCUAAUACCGCAUAACGUCGCAAGACCAAAGAGGGGGACCUUCGGGCCUCUUGCCAUCGGAUGUGCCCAGAUGGGAUUAGCUUGUUGGUGGGGUAACGGCUCACCAAGGCGACGAUCCCUAGCUGGUCUGAGAGGAUGACCAGCCACACUGGAACUGAGACACGGUCCAGACUCCUACGGGAGGCAGCAGUGGGGAAUAUUGCACAAUGGGCGCAAGCCUGAUGCGGCCAUGCCGCGUGUAUGAAGAAGGCCUUCGGGUUGUAAAGUACUUUCAGCGGGGAGGAAGGGAGUAAAGUUAAUACCUUUGCUCAUUGACGUUACCCGCAGAAGAAGCACCGGCUAACUCCGUG
rnacentral:rRNA from 1 species